rnacentral:rRNA from 1 species
UACGUAGGGGGCUAGCGUUGUCCGGAAUCAUUGGGCGUAAAGCGCGUGUAGGCGGUUCGGUAAGUCCGCUGUGAAAGUCGGGGGCUCAACCCUCGAAAGCCGGUGGAUACUGUCGGACUAGAGUGCGGAAGAGGCGAGUGGAAUUCCUGGUGUAGCAGUGAAAUGCGCAGAUAUCAGGAGGAACACCAAUUGCGAAGGCAGCUCGCUGGGACGUUACUGACGCUGAGACGCGAAAGCGUGGGGAGCAAACAGG